GCCUGGGUGGCUCAGUGGGUUAAGCGCCUGACUCUUGAUUUCUGCUCAGGUCAUGAUCUCAGGGUUGUGAGCUCGAGCCCCGCCCUGGGCU
rnacentral:tRNA from 1 species